AGUGGCGGACGGGUGAGUAACGCGUGAGCAACCUGCCUGCAAGAGGGGGACAACAGCUGGAAACGGCUGCUAAUACCGCAUAAGACCACAGCAUCGCAUGAUGAAGAGGUCAAAGGAGGAAUCCACUUGCAGAUGGGCUCGCGUCCCAUUAGGUAGUUGGUGAGGUAAGGGCUCACCAAGCCGACGAUGGGUAGCCGACCUGAGAGGGUGAUCGGCCACACUGGAACUGAGACACGGUCCAGACUCCUACGGGAGGCAGCAGUGGGGAAUAUUGGGCAAUGGGGGAAACCCUGACCCAGCAACGCCGCGUGAGGGAAGAAGGCUUUCGGGUUGUAAACCUCUGUCCUUGGGGACGAAGUAAGUGACGGUACCCAAGGAGGAAGCUCCGGCUAACUACGUGCCAGCAGCCGCGGUAAUACGUAGGGAGCAAGCGUUGUCCGGAAUUACUGGGCGUAAAGGGUGCGUAGGCGGCCUGGUAAGUCAGAUGUGAAAUACCCGUGCUUAACAUGGGGGGUGCAUCUGAUACUGUCAGGCUUGAGUGCAGGAGAGGAAAGCGGAAUUCCUAGUGUAGCGGUGAAAUGCAUAGAUAUNAGGAGGAACACCANUGCCGAAGGCGCUUUCUGGACUGUACUGACGCUGAGGCACGAAAGCGUGGGAGCAAACAGGAUAAAUACCCUGGUA
rnacentral:rRNA from 1 species